rnacentral:sRNA from 1 species
GUUCUAAUGACAACAAAGUAUUCCGUCGGUUACUAAACCCUGUACGCCGCUAUUAUUUCUCUUUUUCAACCCUCCUUUAUGCCCUACCUGAAACUCUCCGCCUUUCGUUCCGUGCAGCGGCCGCAGAGAUUUUCAAAUCUACUUCUGUGCGCCACCGGGCGGCAUCGUUCCUAUUCAUAGUACUCAAAACAGCAAGCGCUACUGCCUUGAACGUCCUCGCGGGUCUUGGCGGUUCGGGGAUAGGGAAGCCCAUCUUGGCAAUAGCCUUGAUAGUCGCUUGUUCGCUGCAAAGUGCAGUAAAUAUCUCUUCUGCAGUGCCAGCGCAUUUCGGAAGGUCGCCUCGCGGGUAUAUUUGGCUUUCAGAUACCUGAUUUGGGUAGCAAGUUCUCGUGAUUGGGCUUUGAACCGCGACUUUUGUUCGGCCAAGAUGACGACUUACGCGUCACACUCGUGCAAUUCCCUCCACUUUUCAGCUUUUUCAUACCUUGUCUUCACGUCCUGAACUUCGUGUCUUAACCUCCUCUCUCGCUCCUUCACCUCUUCCAUUUCUCUUUCCAAAGCUUGAAGUUCAGCAGCAUGUCUGGAAGAUUUGCUGGUCUGUUCCCUUUUCAGCGCUUGUAAUUGCUGACCGAAGUCUUCGCUCUCAAUCUUAUGCUUUUGCAAGUCGUUUUCAAACUCCCUCAAUUCUUGAGCGAUUAUUUCACGUUCGCGGCGGUAUUUGUUCACCUGAGCCUCAGAUUCUCUUACUUCCUGAUCACGUCUAGCAAGUGUCUCGCGAAGGUGGUGGGAUAUCGAUUCUGCGUCACGAAGCGAUGAUUCGAGCAAGCGAAUGGCUUCAGACGUUUGGGAUAACUCGGCUCGUAGUUGAGCAGCUGUAGCGCCAUCGCAAGCAAUUUGAGCAUUGCGUCUUGAAAGUGAAUCAUAGGCUCGUCGUUCGUCACUCAGCUCUCGUUCAAGCUGAGUCACUCGUGACUUGAGGAUUUGAAUUUCCUGAAUGUAAUUAUCAGCCGUCAAUCUUUAAUGUUAGUAAGGGAAGAUACAUACGUGCUUCAACUCAUCUCUUUCCUUUUCCACCCUCUUAACCUCUUCACGUGCUUGUUCAACCUCCCUCUCCGAUCCUUCAGC